GGACCCGCACAAGCAGUGGAGCAUGUGGUUUAAUUCGACGCAACGCGAAGAACCUUACCAGCGUUUGACAUGGGAAGUGCCGGUUACAGAAUGGUAACCUUCAGUUCGGCUGGCUUCCACACAGGUGCUGCAUGGCUGUCGUCAGCUCGUGUCGUGAGAUGUUGGGUUAAGUCCCGCAACGAGCGCAACCCUUAUCGUUAGUUACUAACAGUUCGGCUGAGGACUCUAGCGAAACUGCCGGUGAUAAGCCGGAGGAAGGUGGGGAUGACGUCAAGUCCUCAUGGCCCUUACACGCUGGGCUACACACGUGCUACAAUGCUACGGACAAAGGGCAGCAAGUUCGCGAGGACAAGCAAAUCCCAUAAACCGUGGCUCAGUUCAGAUCGUAGGCUGCAACUCGCCUACGUGAAGGCGGAAUCGCUAGUAAUCGCAGGUC
rnacentral:rRNA from 1 species